CGAGGAAUCUUGCAAGAAUUCCAAGACCAGAUGAAACAAUAGAGAUGUUUAGAGUUUGUUUAUACUACAAGAUUUGAAAAGGGUACAAAUGCAUUUUGUUUUUUUAUUUUCGUUACCUUUAUUUUUUCUCGUAAAUCUUUAUAUAAUUACAAAAGUGGCAAGAUUGAU
rnacentral:ribozyme from 15 species